AGGCUCUAGGUGAGUUGCUGUGCAGUGACCCUUCUACUGUAACCACACUGUGGAGAUUAAGCACGGUGAGAAAUCCUUCACGAAAGAGUAACUGCAAUGGUGAAGUCUGGGGGAGUGGUUAUUCAAGGAGGCAGAGCGGUGUUCUGCCUGUACGGCUCUCUCUCAGGGGAAUAAGGUCAGAGAGG